rnacentral:tRNA from 1 species
GCCUGGGUGGCUCAGUCGGUUGAGCGUCCGACUUCAGCUCAGGUCAUGAUCUUGGGUUCGUGAGUUCGAGCCCCGUGUCAGGCU